GACGUAGGAUGCAAGCGUUGUCCGGAUUUAUUGGGCGUAAAGAGUUCGUAGGUGGUUUGUUAAGUCUGAUGUUAAAGACUGGGGCUCAACCUCGGGACUGCAUUGGAUACUGGCAGACUUGAGUGCGGUAGAGGCAAGUGGAAUUCCAGGUGUGCGGUGAAAUGCGUAGAUAUCUGGAAGAACACCGGUGGCGCAAGCGACUUGCUGGGCCGUAACUGACACUGAGGAACGAAAGCUAGGGGAGCGAACAGG
rnacentral:rRNA from 1 species